UACGAAGGGUGCAAGCGUUACUCGGAAUUACUGGGCGUAAAGCGUGCGUAGGUGGUUCGUUAAGUCUGAUGUGAAAGCCCUGGGCUCAACCUGGGAAUGGCAUUGGAAACUGGCGACCUAGAGUGCGGUAGAGGGUAGUGGAGUUCCCGGUGUAGCAGUGAAAUGCGUAGAGAUCGGGAGGAACAUCCGUGGCGAAGGCGACUACCUGGACCAGCACUGACACUGAGGCACGAAAGCGUGGGGAGCAAACAGG
rnacentral:rRNA from 1 species